UACGAAGGGGGCUAGCGUUGCUCGGAAUCACUGGGCGUAAAGGGUGCGUAGGCGGGUUUUUAAGUCAGGGGUGAAAUCCUGGAGCUCAACUCCAGAACUGCCUUUGAUACUGAAGAUCUUGAGUUCGGGAGAGGUGAGUGGAACUGCGAGUGUAGAGGUGAAAAUUCGUAGAUAUUCGCAAGAACACCAGUGGCGAAGGCGGCUCACUGGCCCGAUACUGACGCUGAGGCACGAAAGCGUGGGGAGCAAACAGGA
rnacentral:rRNA from 1 species